GGAGGAGGAGCCGGAGGACGGCGCGGGGCGCGUUCCCUCCCAGCAGCCGGGCGCCCGCGUCGCUGCCACCGCCGGAAGACAGACGCCCCCCGAAGCCCCUCGCCUGGCUCGGACCCACGGAGCCGGCAGCCCAGCACUCCGAUAGGAUCUCAUGUUUUUGCUGGUGCCAGUCUGGACCAAGAUCCUUCUACUUACAUCGUCUACAUAGCUGGAAUUACAGGCAUGUGUCACCACACCCACCCAGUUUAUUAUCAUUUAUCAGUAACUUUUUGCCCAGCUGACCUGAAACCAUGAUUGUCCCAAUCUCCUCCUCUUGAGUAGCUGUGAUUACAGGUGUAAAUCACUGUGCCUGAGCUUGCCAUGGGGUUUUGAGAGAUCAAAU